GAUGAACGCUGACAGAAUGCUUAACACAUGCAAGUCCACUUGAAUUUGGGUUUUUAACUUAGGUUUGGGUGGCGGACGGGUGAGUAACGCGUAAAGAACUUGCCUCACAGCUAGGGACAACAUUUGGAAACGAAUGCUAAUACCUAAUAUUAUGAUAAUAGGGCAUCCUAUAAUUAUGAAAGCUAUAAGCGCUGUGAGAGAGCUUUGCGUCCCAUUAGCUAGUUGGAGAGGUAACGGCUCACCAAGGCGAUGAUGGGUAGCCGGCCUGAGAGGGUGAUCGGCCACAAGGGGACUGAGACACGGCCCUUACUCCUACGGGAGGCAGCAGUGGGGAAUAUUGGACAAUGGACCAAGAGUCUGAUCCAGCAAUUCUGUGUGCACGAUGAAGUUUUUCGGAAUGUAAAGUGCUUUCAGUUGGGAAGAAAGAAAUGACGGUACCAACAGAAGAAGAGACGGCUAAAUACGUG
rnacentral:rRNA from 1 species